rnacentral:rRNA from 1 species
AACAAUGGAAGGGCAAGUCUGGUGCCAGCAGCCNGGGUAAUUCCCAGCUCCAAUAGCGUAUAUUAAAGUUGUUGUGGUYAAAAAGCUCGUAGUUGAACCUUGGGCCKGGCUGGCCGGUCCGCCUCACCGCGUUGUACUGGUCCGGCCGGGCCUUUCCCUUCUGUGGAACCCCAUGCCCUUCACUGGGUGUGGCGGGGAAACAGGACUUUURCUGUGAAAAAAUUAGAGUGCUCCAGGCAGGCCUAUGCUCGAAUACAUUAGCAUGGAAUAAUAGAAUAGGACGUGUGGUUCUAUUUUGUUGGUUUCUAGGACCGCCGUAAUGAUUAAUAGGGACAGUCGGGGGCAUCAGUAUUCAAUUGUCAGAGGUGAAAUUCUUGGAUUUAUUGAAGACUAACUACUGCGAAAGCAUUUGCCAAGGAUGUUUUCAUUAAUCAGGAACGAAAGUUAGGGCAUCGAAGACGAUCAGAUACCGUCGUAGUCUUAACCAUAAACUAUGCCGACUAGGGAUCGGACGGUGUUAUUUUUUGACCCGUUCGGCACCUUACGAGAAAUCAAAGUGCUUGGGCUCCAGGGGGAGCAUGGUCGCAAGGCUGAAACUUAAAGAAAUUGACGGAAGGGCACCACCAGGGGUGGAGCCUGCGGCUUAAUUUGACUCAACACGGGGAAACUCACCAGGUCCAGACACAAUGAGGAUUGACAGAUUGAGAGCUCUUUCUUGAUUUUGUGGGUGGUGGUGCAUGGCCGUUCUUAGUUGGUGGAGUGAUUUGUCUGCUUAAUUGCGAUAACGAACGAGACCU